UACGUAGGGUGCGAGCGUUGUCCGGAAUUAUUGGGCGUAAAGAGCUUGUAGGCGGUUUGUCGCGUCUGCCGUGAAAAUCCGGGGCUCAACCCCGGACUUGCGGUGGGUACGGGCAGACUAGAGUGUGGUAGGGGAGACUGGAAUUCCUGGUGUAGCGGUGAAAUGCGCAGAUAUCAGGAGGAACACCGAUGGCGAAGGCGGGUCUCUGGGCAGUAACUGACGCUGAGGAGCGAAAGCGUGGGGAGCGAACAGG
rnacentral:rRNA from 1 species